UGCAGUCGAACGGNAAGGCCCUUCGGGGUACUCGAGUGGCGAACGGGUGAGUAACACGUGGGUGAUCUGCCCUGCACUUUGGGAUAAGCCUGGGAAACUGGGUCUAAUACCGAAUACACCUUGCUGGUCGCAUGAUCUGGUGGGGGAAAGCUUUUGCGGUGUGGGAUGGGCCCGCGGCCUAUCAGCUUGUUGGUGAGGUUAUGGCUUACCAAGGCGACGACGGGUAGCCGGCCUGAGAGGGUGACCGGCCACACUGGGACUGAGAUACGGCCCAGACUCCUACGGGAGGCAGCAGUGGGGAAUAUUGCACAAUGGGCGCAAGCCUGAUGCAGCGACGCCGCGUGAGGGAUGACGGCCUUCGGGUUGUAAACCUCUUUCAGCAGGGACGAAGCGCAAGUGACGGUACCUGUAGAAGAAGGACCGGCCAACUACGUGCCAGCAGCCGCGGUAAUACGUAGGGUCCGAGCGUUGUCCGGAAUUACUGGGCGUAAAGAGCUCGUAGGUGGUUUGUCGCGUUGUUCGUGAAAACUCACAGCUCAACUGUGGGCGUGCGGGCGAUACGGGCAGACUGGAGUACUGCAGGGGAGACUGGAAUUCCUGGUGUAGCGGUGGAAUGCGCAGAUAUCAGGAGGAACACCGGUGGCGAAGGCGGGUCUCUGGGCAGUAACUGACGCUGAGGAGCGAAAGCGUGGGGAGCGAACAGGAUUAGAUACCCUGGUAGUCCACGCCGUAAACGGUGGGUACUAGGUGUGGGUUUCCUUCCUUGGGAUCCGUGCCGUAGCUAACGCAUUAAGUACCCCGCCUGGGGAGUACGGCCGCAAGGCUAAAACUCAAAGAAAUUGACGGGGGCCCGCACAAGCGGCGGANCAUGUGGAUUAAUUCNAUGCNACGCGAAGAACCUUACCUGGGUUUGACAUGCACAGGACGCUGGUAGAGAUAUCAGUUCCCUUGUGGCCUG
rnacentral:rRNA from 1 species